rnacentral:lncRNA from 13 species
AUGCAUUUCUGUUGCUUAACCAUGGUUGGAAAGAUGGAAGAAUCACCGGCUGAAAUAAGAUCUGAAUCCUCACUUGAAUCUCUGCUCUUGUUCUCUUUUUCUCCACAUGUACAUUUGACAACUGCAUCUGAAACAACCUGUAGGGACCAUCCUGUUGCUAAAGGGAAUUUUAAAUCUUCUUCCGUGGAACACUAUGUUUCCUGAGAGUCCUUAAUGAAUUCUGCAGGAAAUAGUAUAGCUGUUUAUUUAUUCAACAAAUAUUCACUGAGUGUUGGCCAGAUAUCUGACACUGGGCUGGACCUGGUCUUUGGGGAGACAGAACUGCCAAGUUUCUGGCCCAAGUUUCCUUCAACCAGAGCAGCUCUGCUGGUGUCUGCUUUGUAGCUGAUAAUCCCUGUAUGUGGGGGAGGAGGUUCUGCUGCCUAAAGAAAAUUUGAAGUCUUCUGUGGCGUAGGGAAUGCUUUUAUUUAAUAGAUGUUCUCAUCAAGUAGAGCUAUUUUGGGGCCAGGGCCUAAUAGAUGUAGGUUUAUGCAUCAGUACAAUGAGGAGCACAUAGUGAGUAUGCGGGUAUAUUAAGCUGCUGUAACACAUGUCUCCUACAUCUCAGUAACUUACAACAGUGAAGGUUUACUUCUCGCUCGUAGUAUAUAUGCACUGUGCAUUGUCUGUGUCUCCAGUUUGAGUAUGAGCUGACUUUUGGACUGCAGCUAACAGAGCGGCCUCUAUCUGGAACACCACUUGUCCCUAGUGGGGGUGAGUUAAAAACACAGUGAAGCAGACAUUCGUUCUUACAGCUUCUGUCUGGGCGUUAGACAGGUCUCUGCUAUUGACCUCUCAUAGGCAAAACAAGUGAAAUGGCUUCACUGGAUGUCAUUGGCACAGGGAAAUAUAAUCUUUUCAUAGGGAGGGGCAGCAAAUAUUUGGUAACAAUGAUGCAAAGUGCUCUAGUGCUCAGUAAAUAUGUGCUGAUUAAACAACUCUGUACAAUCAACAAUCACACAUUAACGCAUUGGCAGCCCCCUACCCUGUAAACCAGCUUUUUCUGAGUAGAAGUCCCUGAGAUGUUGUGCUUUUUGUGUUACGAGAAGAGUGGAAAUGAGCUGAAAAUAAUCUCAAGAAUUUUAUUGUCACAACUAAGUCACAAUUGGCCUUCAACAUUCCCCACCAACUGGGUAAGGAAACCACAUCCAGUCCCCAG